rnacentral:rRNA from 1 species
GCUUGGCAAGACCACUUCAGCAAAAAGGUCCUAAGGUAGCGAAAUUCCUUAUGGGGUAAGUUCCGACCCGCACGAAAGGC